rnacentral:rRNA from 1 species
GAUGAACGCUGGCGGCGUGCCUAAUACAUGCAAGUCGUACGGAAAGGCCCUUCGGGGUACUCGAGUGGCGGACGGCUGAGUAACGCGUGGGAACGUGCCCCAAAGUGAGGGAUAACGCACCGAAAGGUGUGCUAAUACCGCAUAUGGUCUUCGGAUUAAAGCUUCGGCGCUUUGGGAGCGGCCCGCGUACGAUUAGAUAGUUGGUGAGGUAAUGGCUCACCAAGUCGACGAUCGUUAGCUGGUCUGAGAGGAUGAUCAGCCAGACUGGGACUGAGACACGGCCCAGACUCCUACGGGAGGCAGCAGUAAGGAAUCUUCCACAAUGGGGGCAACCCUGAUGGAGCGACGCCGCGUGCAGGAUGAAGGUUUUCGGAUCGUAAACUGCUUUUAUAAGUGAGGAAUAUGACGGUAACUUAUGAAUAAGGAUCGGCUAACUACGUGCCAGCCGCCGCGGUAA